UACGUAGGGGGCUAGCGUUGUCCGGAAUCAUUGGGCGUAAAGCGCGCGUAGGCGGCCCGGUAAGUCCGCUCUGAAAGUCCAGGGCUCAACCCUGGAAAGCGGGUGGAUACUGCCGGGCUAGAAUCCGGAAGAGGCGAGUGGAAUUCCUGGUGUAGCGGUGGAAUGCGCAGAUAUCGGGAGGAACACCGGUGGCGAAGGCGGCGAUCUGGGUAGAUACUGACGCUGAGGUGCGAAAGCGUGGGGAGCAAACAGG
rnacentral:rRNA from 1 species